GUGGGCGUAGCUCAGCUGGUUAGAGCGCCAGGUUGUGGCCCUGGAGGCCGCGGGUUCGAAUCCCGUCGCUCACC
rnacentral:tRNA from 1 species